GGGUCUUUAGCUCAGCGGCGAGAGCAUCCAAUUGAAGAUCGUACAUUUCCUCUGUUAGAGUCCGAGAAGUCCCA